rnacentral:ncRNA from 1 species
GUAGCGGACACCGAAAGGUUGCUGUCGAGAUUCGACAGUCCGUCUUCUGCGGCUCGCGUUGCGAGACGCAACCGGCCUUGCCGGAUUUGCCAACCCGCCGAUGAGA